rnacentral:rRNA from 1 species
AGAGGGUGCGAGCGUUAAUCGGAAUUACUGGGCGUAAAGGGCGCGUAGGCGGUAAGAUGUGUGUUAUGUGAAAGCCCCGGGCUUAACCUGGGAAGUGCAUAGCAAACUGUCUAACUAGAGUAUAUGAGAGGGUGGCGGAAUUUCCGGUGUAGCGGUGAAAUGCGUAGAUAUCGGAAGGAACGUCAAUGGCGAAGGCAGCCACCUGGCAUAAUACUGACGCUGAGGCGCGAAAGCGUGGGGAGCGAACAGGAUUAGAUACCCUGGUAGUCCACGCUGUAAACGAUGAGGACUAAAUGUUGUUUGGGGAACUAAGCAGUAUUGAAGCUAACGCGAUAAGUCUUCCGCCUGGGAAGUACGGCCGCAAGGUUG